rnacentral:rRNA from 1 species
AAUACGACUCUCGGCAACGGAUAUCUCGGCUCUCGCAUCGAUGAAGAACGUAGCAAAAUGCGAUACCUGGUGUGAAUUGCAGAAUCCCGUGAACCAUCGAGUUUUUGAACGCAAGUUGCGCCCGAGGCCUUCUGGCUGAGGGCACGCCUGCCUGGGCGUCACGC